rnacentral:rRNA from 1 species
UACGUAGGGGGCUAGCGUUGUCCGGAUUUAUUGGGCGUAAAGAGCGUGUAGGUGGCCAGGUAGGUCUGGUGUGAAAACUCGAGGCUUAACCUCGAGAUGUCAUCGGAAACCAUUUGGCUAGAGUCCGGAAGAGGAGAGUGGAAUUCCUGGUGUAGCGGUGAAAUGCGCAGAUAUCAGGAAGAACACCAAUGGCGAAAGCAGCUCUCUGGGACGGUACUGACGCUGAGGAGCGAAAGCGUGGGGAGCGAACAGG